rnacentral:lncRNA from 1 species
CUGCGGCAUGAAACUUGGUCAAUACCUUUUUUGUUCUUUUACCAGUUGCAUUCUCUAAAACUCUGACAUUAUUAUUUUAAUUUUUUUUUUAUGUCAAUUAAUUAGUACUUUCCAUCUGUUUAAUAUUUUUAAUCCAUAACGUAAAAAUCAUGAAAGAGGUUAAGUUGUACAUGUAUGUACGAAGCAUAUCUCAAUAUUUAAAUACAAAAGAUCGACUAGAAUUCAGUUUCAAAAAAAAAAAAAAAGAUCGACUAGAAUAAGUAUCAUUGACUG